rnacentral:rRNA from 1 species
CCUGGCUCAGAUUGAACGCUGGCGGCAUGCCUUACACAUGCAAGUCGAACGGCAGCACGGGAGCAAUCCUGGUGGCGAGUGGCGAACGGGUGAGUAAUAUAUCGGAACGUGCCCGGUCGUGGGGGAUAACGUAGCGAAAGCUACGCUAAUACCGCAUACGAUCUACGGAUGAAANCGGGGGAUCGCAAGACCUCGCGCGAUUGGAGCGGCCGAUAUCAGAUUAGGUAGUUGGUGGGGUAAAGGCUCACCAAGCCAACGAUCUGUAGCUGGUCUGAGAGGACGACCAGCCACACUGGAACUGAGACACGGUCCAGACUCCUACGGGAGGCAGCAGUGGGGAAUUUUGGACAAUGGACGCAAGUCUGAUCCAGCCAUUCCGCGUGCAGGAUGAAGGCCCUCGGGUUGUAAACUGCUUUGUACGGAACGAAAAGGUUUCUAUUAAUACUAGGAGCUCAUGACGGUACCGUAAGAAUAAGCACCGGCUAACUACGUG